rnacentral:misc_RNA from 1 species
AACGCACCUUGCGCUCCUUGGUAUUCCGAGGAGCAUGCCUGUUUGAGUGUCAUUAAAUUCUCAACCCAUUCAGCUUGUAAAAGAGCUGUGAUGUGGCUUGGAUGUGGGGGUAUUGUUGCAGGCCUUUGGUCAGCUCCCCUAAAAUACAUUAGCGGAACGGUUUGCGAUCCGUCACUGGUGUGAUAAUUAUCUAUGCCAACGACUAUGGAAUGCUCUCUGUCUGUUCAGCUUCUAACAGUCCCAUCUGUGGACAAGUUUUGAACGUUUGACCUCAAAUCAGGUAGGACUACCCGCUGAACUUAA